CAAUAGCGUAUAUUUAAGUUGUUGCAGUUAAAAAGCUCGUAGUUGGAUUUCGGAUGUGAACGACCGGUCCGCCGUUGCGGUGUGCACUGGACGUUCGUAUCUUGUUGUCGGGGACGCGCUCCUGGCCUUAACUGGUCGGGACGCGGAGUCGGCGCUGUUACUUUGAAAAAUUAGAGUGUUUAAAGCAGGCAUUUGCUAUGAAUACAUUAGCAUGGAAUAAUAAUCUAGGACUUCGGUUCUAUUUUGUUGGUUUCUUAGAUCUGAAGUAAUGAUUGAUAGGGAUAGUUGGGGGUGCUAGUAUUAAGGGGCCAGAGGUGAAAUUCUUGGAUUCUCUUAAGACUAACUUAUGCGAAAGCAUUCACCAAGGAUGUCUUCUUUAAUCAAGAACGAAAGUUGGGGGAUCGAAGACGAUCAGAUACCAU
rnacentral:rRNA from 1 species